GAAUUCCUUACUUUGGAGAAGAACCCUUACAAGGGACCCUUGUUAAAACAAGACACAAUUAAGAGAUGGAAGGGCCCAAAAGCCUUGAAAAACAGGCUCUGAGACUGACGCCCUGGUUGCUUGAAGCGCAGGCGAAGGUAGACUGGCCCAGACGACAGCGUGAGAGCUCUCCGGCCCCAUUGCGUCAAGGUUUCUCUUUGGAUGCAAUUCCAGAAGAGACCACUAGAGGGCAGGAUACACCUCUCAAUGCCUGCUGGGCAUGGGGGGCGGGGUGUUGAGGCUCCCAGGCCUGGCCGCCCAUGUAACUUCCCCGAAAGAAGAGGGGUUCAAGCUUUCCCACCGCCCUGCUAACGAACUUUCUUAAAAGUCAGUUGCCUAACCUGCUACCAAAGGAAGUCUAAAUGAACCCAGCCUCCAUGAGGCGAGGAAGCUCAGGCCACACGGGGCGGCCACGUGUCUGGGCUGUUAGCCCAUCCUGAGGUCCCAGCCAGCAGCAGGCAUCAGCUACCAGACAUGCAGCCCAGUGUUGGGGAGAACCCGUUACAGAGCAAUGGAUAACUGGCAUUUGCUGGGGAGGACUGAUAGUAAAAGCCCUGAAACCAUGCACUGCCCUGGCCCUUACCCAGUUUUGUUAUUUGGAAAAUGUGAAUUAUCACAAAGCAAGCAGGAUCCCGCUCCCUGGGCAGCACGUCACGGCCGCAGAACUUGAACCCUUCACUGACCCUGCUGUGCGUGGCUGACACACAGAGUGGAUCUUCCAUACAAGCUGUAAGCAACAGGCAGGCUCUCCUCUCUCGAGAAACAACGGGUUCCUUCCACUCAAAGGGAAAAACAAGAAGAGGAAGAGCGGCUGCCUGGUCUCUGCCAGUCAUGGAAUACAUCUCAGCAAAUGAUCAGAUUUGAAACGGCUUUGUGUCCGGGCUCACUUGGUCCUACUGGGAAAUAACCUGAUUUGAGUGGGAAACACCCCUGUGCCAUGGAGAUGCAAGUGGGAUCCUUUGGGAGAGGAAAAAUAGAAACUGAUUAUGAAGUUUGAGAC